UGCAGUCGAACGGUGAAGGAGGAGCUUGCUCCUUUGGAUCAGUGGCGAACGGGUGAGUAACACGUGAGUAACCUGCCCCAGACUCUGGGAUAAGCACUGGAAACGGUGUCUAAUACCGGAUACGAGCUUCAGCCGCAUGGCUAGGAGCUGGAAAGAAUUUCGGUCUGGGAUGGACUCGCGGCCUAUCAGCUAGUUGGUGAGGUAAUGGCUCACCAAGGCGACGACGGGUAGCCGGCCUGAGAGGGUGACCGGCCACACUGGGACUGAGACACGGCCCAGACUCCUACGGGAGGCAGCAGUGGGGAAUAUUGCACAAUGGGCGCAAGCCUGAUGCAGCAACGCCGCGUGAGGGACGACGGCCUUCGGGUUGUAAACCUCUUUUAGUAGGGAAGAAGCGAAAGUGACGGUACCUGCAGAAAAAGCACCGGCUAACUACGUGCCAGCAGCCGCGGUAAUACGUAGGGUGCAAGCGUUAUCCGGAAUUAUUGGGCGUAAAGAGCUCGUAGGCGGUUUGUCGCGUCUGCUGUGAAAACUGGAGGCUCAACCUCCAGCCUGCAGUGGGUACGGGCAGACUAGAGUGCGGUAGGGGAGAUUGGAAUUCCUGGUGUAGCGGUGGAAUGCGCAGAUAUCAGGAGGAACACCGAUGGCGAAGGCAGAUCUCUGGGCCGUAACUGACGCUGAGGAGCGAAAGCAUGGGGAGCGAACAGGAUUAGAUACCCUGGUAGUCCAUGCCGUAAACGUUGGGAACUAGAUGUAGGGACCAUUCCACGGUUUCUGUGUCGCAGCUAACGCAUUAAGUUCCCCGCCUGGGGAGUACGGCCGCAAGGCUAAAACUCAAAGGAAUUGACGGGGGCCCGCACAAGCGGCGGAGCAUGCGGAUUAAUUCGAUGCAACGCGAAGAACCUUACCAAGGCUUGACAUAUACCGGAAAAGUUCAGAAAUGUUCUCCCCGCAAGGUCGGUAUACAGGUGGUGCAUGGUUGUCGUCAGCUCGUGUCGUGAGAUGUUGGGUUAAGUCCCGCAA
rnacentral:rRNA from 1 species